rnacentral:rRNA from 1 species
GACGAACGCUGGCGGCGUGCUUAACACAUGCAAGUCGAACGGAAAGGCCCUGCUUUUGUGGGGUGCUCGAGUGGCGAACGGGUGAGUAACACGUGAGUAACCUGCCCUUGACUUUGGGAUAACUUCAGGAAACUGGGGCUAAUACCGGAUAGGAGCUCCUGCUGCAUGGUGGGGGUUGGAAAGUUUCGGCGGUUGGGGAUGGACUCGCGGCUUAUCAGCUUGUUGGUGGGGUAGUGGCUUACCAAGGCUUUGACGGGUAGCCGGCCUGAGAGGGUGACCGGCCACAUUGGGACUGAGAUACGGCCCAGACUCCUACGGGAGGCAGCAGUGGGGAAUAUUGCACAAUGGGCGGAAGCCUGAUGCAGCAACGCCGCGUGCGGGAUGACGGCCUUCGGGUUGUAAACCGCUUUCGCCUGUGACAAAGCCUGAGUGACGGUAAUGGGUAAAGAAGCACCGGCUAACUACGUG